rnacentral:rRNA from 1 species
UAGGGAAUAUUGCGCCAUGGGGGAAACCCUGACGCAGCGACGCCGCGUGAGGGAUGAAGGCCUUCGGGUCGUAAAGCUCUGUCGUAUGGGACUAACAAAAUGAAGGUACCAUGCAAGGAAGGAUCGGCUAACUUCGUGCCAGCAGCCGCGGUAAGACGAGGGAUCCUAGCGUAGUUCGGAAUUAUUGGGCGUAAAGCGGGUGUAGGCGGACUUAUAAGUAAGGUGUGAAAUCCCAGGGCUCAACCCUGGAAGUGCACUUGAUACUGUAAGUCUUGAAUGUGGUAGAGGUUACUGGAAUUGCUGGUGUAGUGGUGAAAUACGUAGAUAUCAGCAGGAACACCGGGGGCGAAGGCGGGUAACUGGGCCAACAUUGACGCUGAGAUCCGAAAGCGUGGGGAUCAACA